UACAGAGGGGGCAAGCGUUUGUUCGGAAUUACUGGGCGUAAAGGGCGCGUAGGCACCUUCUAAGUCGAACGUGAAAUCCCUGGGCUUAACCCAGGAACUGCGUCCGAUACUGGAAGGCUUGAAUCCGGGAGAGGGAUGCGGAAUUCCAGGUGUAGCGGUGAAAUGCGUAGAUAUCUGGAGGAACACCGGUGGCGAAGGCGGCAUCCUGGACCGGCAUUGACGCUGAGGCGCGAAAGCUAGGGGAGCAAACGGG
rnacentral:rRNA from 1 species